UACGUAGGGGGCGAGCGUUAUCCGGAUUUACUGGGUGUAAAGGGAGCGUAGACGGUUAAUCAAGUCUGAAGUGAAAGCCCGCGGCUCAACUGCGGAACGGCUUUGGAAACUGAGUAACUGGAGUGCUGGAGGGGCAGGCGGAAUUCCUGGUGUAGCGGUGAAAUGCGUAGAUAUCAGGAGGAAUACCGUUAGCGAAGGCGGCAAUCUGGCUGGAAACUGACGCUGAGGUGCGAAAGCGUGGGUAGCAAACAGG
rnacentral:rRNA from 1 species